GACGAACGCUGGCGGCGCGCUUAACACAUGCAAGUCGAACGGAAAGGCCUGCUUUCCCUUGUGGAUUGCGGGUACUCGAGUGGCGAACGGGUGAGUAACACGUGAGUGAUCUGCCCCCAACUUGGGUAUAAGCCUGGGAAACUGGGUCUAAUUCCCGAUAGGACUGCAGGGUGGUGCCUGUGGUGGAAAACGAUUUUCUAGUGGUUGGGGAUGAGCUCGCGGCCUAUCAGCUUGUUGGUGGGGUAAUGGCCUACCAAGGCGGCGACGGGUAGCCGGCCUGAGAGGGUGGACGGCCACAUUGGGACUGAGAUACGGCCCAGACUCCUACGGGAGGCAGCAGUGGGGAAGAUUGCACAAUGGGCGGAAGCCUGAUGCAGCGACGCCGCGUGGGGGAUGACGGCCUUCGGGUUGUAAACUCCUUUCGACCGCGAGGAAGCCACCUGGUUGGAAGGGUGGUGACGGUAGUGGUAGAAGAAGCACCGGCUAACUACGCG
rnacentral:rRNA from 1 species